rnacentral:rRNA from 1 species
AUACGGAGGGUGCAAGCGUUAAUCGGAAUUACUGGGCGUAAAGCGCGCGUAGGCGGCUUUGUAAGUCGGAUGUGAAAGCCCUGGGCUCAACCUGGGAAUGGCAUUCGAUACUGCAGAGCUAGAGUAUGGUAGAGGGAAGUGGAAUUUCCGAUGUAGCGGUGAAAUGCGUAGAUAUCAGAAAGAACACCAGUGGCGAAGGCGACUACCUGGGCCAAUACUGACGCUGAGGUGCGAAAGCGUGGGGAGCAAACAGGAUUAGAAACCCCAGUAGUCC